ACUUUGGAAUAUGCCCAAGACUGUAAGCUGCACACGAUCAGGAAAGAGAUCAUGUCAGAGUAAGACAUAGACCAACUGUUUGUACAAAAGGACUGCCCAGGGGUUUGUCAUCACCUAUAACAGAAACACAACGCCUCUGAAUUACUCAUGCUGAGAAAGGCCUAGGGCAGCUUCUACCUGAUGUAGGUGUCACUGGCUAGGCCAGCAUUUAUUGUCCAUCCCUAACUGCCCAGAAGGCAGUUAAGAGGCAACCCCCAUAUUGCUGUGCGUAUGGAGUCACAUGUAAACUAGACCAGAUCUGCUUUUACAGGGUGUGCUGCCAGUGCAUUGGAGAAUCCUAGACAAGCUGGAGCAGGUGAACUUUAGUCUGCACAACUGAACGUAGACAGAAGAAGGGUCUUUCUCUCUCUCAAGAAACAAGAAACAAAAUAUCCAGUGACAACACCGAUCAGAAAGAAGUUUCAGAGAGCCAAGAAUUUUCAAGGUAACUGCAACAUUUGCUAAUACUUUGAGUCUAAGAAACCGAUGUCUCAAGUUGAAACCUUAGCCUCAAAGACAUCCAAACGACUUUCAACAAUGUAUUCUUUUAUCUUCUUUCAUGAUGAUCCCCAUUUUGAUUUAACUUUGUAUUUGUGUGUGGUCCAUGUCUUAAUGGUGUCUUUAUUA